GAUGAACGCUGGCGGCGUGCCUAAUACAUGCAAGUCGAGCGAACGGACGAGAAGCUUGCUUCUCUGAUGUUAGCGGCGGACGGGUGAGUAACACGUGGAUAACCUACCUAUAAGACUUGGAUAACUUCGGGAAACCGUAGCUAAUACCGGAUAAUAUUUUGAACCGCAUGGUUCAAAAGUGAAAGACGGUCUUGCUGUCACUUAUAGAUGGAUCCGCGCUGCAUUAGCUAGUUGGUAAGGUAACGGCUUACCAAGGCAACGAUGCAUAGCCGACCUGAGAGGGUGAUCGGCCACACUGGAACUGAGACAAGGUCCAGAAUACUACGGGAGGCAGCAGUAGGGAAUCUUACGCAAUGGGCGAAAGCCUGACGGAGCAACGCCGCGUGAGUGAUGAAGGUCUUCGGAUCGUAAAACUCUGUUAUUAGGGAAGAACAUAUGUGUAAGUAACUGUGCACAUCUUGACGGUACCUAAUCAGAAAGCCACGGCUAACUACGUG
rnacentral:rRNA from 1 species